CAUAGUUACUCAAUUUGUACAUGAAUGGUCUCCUUAACAUACAGAAUAUUCAUAGUGCAUUCAGUGAGAAUCAUAUGGCCACUAAUAAUAGCUCAUCAAUGAAAUCUUUAGUUGCAGAAGCUGUUUAUCUGUCCCAGCAGAUUGGUGUUGGUGCUUAAAUCCUUUCCAUGAUUUCUACUUGUGUAGCCAUUCUGGCAGUGCAUCCGUGAGGCACGGUUGAUAAUUUGCUUUGAAGUUUGUCACAUCCUGAAAUUUACAAUUACCUUCACUUGUUGCGGGAGUGGUCCCUUAUAUAAUGUGAAAAGAACAGGCGAGCUUUUUUGGUAGCAGAAUAUGAUGGGCAAUCCUCUACAAUCCAGUUAGGAUGCCUUAUACUUGCUGGGUUAUUGUGUGAUUUUCUGCUGGGGGAGGCUCUGCUGGGUUAAAUGUUUUUUGGCUGACAUCCUGAGUCUUUGACCGGCUUAAUGUUGGGAUUGAGGAACACUCAAGCUUUGCUUCGGGGUUCUAGCUUCUAGUUUGUGCUUUAUUUGUUUAUUUAGUAACCAUUUGUUAGAGUUUGAUAUGUAGGGUCAUCAACCUUCAUAAGCCUACAAUGAGAUUUUUCAACAUUGCAUUCGCUCUGAAAUUAGCUCCCACUGUUUCCAUGGGCGAUUGUCUUAGAUAGCAUCAAUCUCUUGCCAUCCCUUAUUGCACUGCUCUUGUGUGAGAGAAAAUCACUGAGCAGUUGGACUGGAGCUAAAUAACAAGACAGUGGGAGAGGAAGGAACGCCAAGAUGCUAUGUGUAAGUUAGUAGAGGAGAAGGUGGAUCUUAUGCUAGUCGUUGGUGGGUGGAACUCAAGCAACACAUCUCACCUACAAGAGAUGGCUGAAGAACGUGGGAUGCCCUCUUGUUGGGUUGACAGUGAGCAGAGAAUAGGUCCUGGAAACAGAAUAGCCUACAAAUUGAGCCAUGGAGAAUUAGCGGAGAAAGAAAAUUGGCUUCCAGAGAGUCCCAUAGCAAUUGGUGUAACAUCAGGAGCUUCUACUGCGGAUAAGUGUCAAGCAUGAGUACGAGGUAUGGGAUCAUGAGCACACAAAAUAAACCACAUGCCAAGCAAACACCACAGAACAGCUCUUAGCCAAAGAAGUCCCGCUGGACCUUGACUCGACCACUGAGAUCAUGUUCACAUACAAUAUCGUCUACGAGUGUGGCAGGGUUGAAAGUGGUACCCAUUGGUACGACGACGAGCAACUAUUCAUUGAUCCUCCAUCUCCUCUGCUCUAGCGGCUCUCCUCCUCCUCUCUUGCAUCAUCGCGGGAAUCUUCAUAAGCUUCUUUUACAAAGAAGAUGAUGAAUAUGAUCUGUUGAACUCCCAGCCUGAAGAGGACCUUCAGGGAGAAACCAGAUGGGGAAUUGUAUUACAAUACGUUUUUAGGCCGCCUUCAAAUGUAACUUCACUGUGUGUUCACACAGCGGCGGGGGUCCAAGUGGUUGGGAUGAUGUUAAUCGCUAUAGUUGUGGUAAUAGUUAGAAGAAACUUUGAUUUCGAAGGAGAGCAUGUAAGUUUGCCCAUCAAUCAACGAGGACUUGUGUCCAUGAUGAUA